rnacentral:rRNA from 1 species
AACGAACGCUGGCGGCAGGCCUAACACAUGCAAGUCGAGCGCCCCGCAAGGGGAGCGGCAGACGGGUGAGUAACGCGUGGGAAUCUACCUAGUGGUACGGAAUAACCCCGGGAAACUUGGAGUAAUACCGUAUACGCCCGAAAGGGGAAAGAUUUAUCGCCAUUAGAUGAGCCCGCGUUGGAUUAGCUAGUAGGUGGGGUAACGGCCCACCAAGGCGACGAUCCAUAGCUGGUCUGAGAGGAUGAUCAGCCACACUGGGACUGAGACACGGCCCAGACUCCUACGGGAGGCAGCAGUGGGGAAUAUUGGACAAUGGGCGCAAGCCUGAUCCAGCCAUGCCGCGUGAGUGACGAAGGUCUUCGGAUUGUAAAGCUCUUUUGGCGGGGACGAUAAUGACGGUACCCGCAGAAUAAGCCCCGGCUAACUUCGUGCCAGCAGCCGCCGCAG